rnacentral:rRNA from 1 species
AGCUUAACAUUGUAAGUAAAUAAUAAUUAUGAAAGCAAAAAAUUAUGGCGGUAUUUUAAGCUUUUCAGAGGAAUUUGCUCUUUAAUGGAUAAAACACCAAAAUCUUACUUAGGUUUGUGAUUUCAAUUUGUAUACCACUAUUAAAACAAUUUAUAACUUUAAUUGUUUAAAUUUAUAAAACUAAAAUAUAUUAAGUCAAGGUGCAGUAAAAAUUUAAGGAUGAAGUGAAUUACAUUACUUUUUAGUGAAAUAAAUUUAUAAUAAUAUUUAGGAUUUGAAAGUAAAAUUAAAAUAGGAUGUUAAUUUGAAUUAAGCUCUAAGAUAUGUACAUAUCGCCCGUCACU